ACGCUGGCGGCGUGCUUAACACAUGCAAGUCGAACGGAAAGGCCCUGCUUUUGUGGGGUGCUCGAGUGGCGAACGGGUGAGUAACACGUGAGUAACCUGCCCUUGACUUUGGGAUAACUUCAGGAAACUGGGGCUAAUACCGGAUAGGAGCUCCUGCUGCAUGGUGGGGGUUGGAAAGUUUCGGCGGUUGGGGAUGGACUCGCGGCUUAUCAGCUUGUUGGUGGGGUAGUGGCUUACCAAGGCUUUGACGGGUAGCCGGCCUGAGAGGGUGACCGGCCACAUUGGGACUGAGAUACGGCCCAGACUCCUACGGGAGGCAGCAGUGGGGAAUAUUGCACAAUGGGCGGAAGCCUGAUGCAGCAACGCCGCGUGCGGGAUGACGGCCUUCGGGUUGUAAACCGCUUUCGCCUGUGACGAAGCGUGAGUGACGGUAAUGGGUAAAGAAGCACCGGCUAACUACGUGCCAGCAGCCGCGGUGAUACGUAGGGUGCGAGCGUUGUCCGGAUUUAUUGGGCGUAAAGGGCUCGUAGGUGGUUGAUCGCGUCGGAAGUGUAAUCUUGGGGCUUAACCCUGAGCGUGCUUUCGAUACGGGUUGACUUGAGGAAGGUAGGGGAGAAUGGAAUUCCUGGUGGAGCGGUGGAAUGCGCAGAUAUCAGGAGGAACACCAGUGGCGAAGGCGGUCCUCUGGGCCUUUCCUGACGCUGAGGAGCGAAAGCGUGGGGAGCGAACAGGCUUAGAUACCCUGGUAGUCCACGCUGUAAACGGUGGGUACUAGGUGUGGGGUCCAUUCCACGGGUUCCGUGCCGUAGCUAACGCUUUAAGUACCCCGCCUGGGGAGUACGGCCGCAAGGCUAAAACUCAAAGGAAUUGACGGGGCCCCGCACAAGCGGCGGAGCAUGCGGAUUAAUUCGAUGCAACGCGUAGAACCUUACCUGGGUUUGACAUGGAUCGGGAGUGCUCAGAGAUGGGUGUGCCUCUUUUGGGGUCGGUUCACAGGUGGUGCAUGCCUGUCGUCAGCUCGUGUCGUGAGAUGUUGGGUUAAGUCCCGCAACGAGCGCAACCCUUGUUCACUGUUGCCAGCACGUUAUGGUGGGGACUCAGUGGAGACCGCCGGGGUCAACUCGGAGGAAGGUGGGGAUGACGUCAAGUCCUCAUGCCCCUUAUGUCCAGGGCUUCACGCAUGCUACAAUGGCUGGUACAGAGAGUGGCGAGCCUGUGAGGGUGAGCGAAUCUCGGAAAGCCGGUCUCAGUUCGGAUUGGGGUCUGCAACUCGACCUCAUGAAGUCGGAGUCGCUAGUAAUCGCAGAUCAGCAACGCUGCGGUGAAUACGUUCCCGGGGCUUGUACACACCGCCCGUCAAGUCAUGAAAGUUGGUGACACCCGAAGCCAAUGGCCUAACCGUUGUGGGGGAGCCGUCGAAGGGC
rnacentral:rRNA from 1 species